GUGAGUCGACCCCUAAGGCGAGGCCGAAAGGCGUAGUCGAUGGGAAACAGGUUAAUAUUCCUGUACUUGGUGUUACUGCGAAGGGGGGACGGAGAAGGCUAUGUUAGCCGGGCGACGGUUGUCCCGGUUUAAGCAUGUAGGCUGGUUGUCCAGGCAAAUCCGGAUAAUCAAGGCUGAGGUGUGAUGACGAGGCACUACGGUGCUGAAGUAACAAAUGCCCUGCUUCCAGGAAAAGCCUCUAAGCAUCAGGUAACAUCAAAUCGUACCCCAAACCGACACAGGUGGUCAGGUA
rnacentral:rRNA from 1 species